UGGGGAAUAUUGGACAAUGGGCGAAAGCCUGAUCCAGCCAUGCCGCGUGUGUGAAGAAGGUCUUCGGAUUGUAAAGUACUUUAAGUUGGGAGGAAGGGCAGUAAGCGAAUACCUUGCUGUUUUGACGUUACCGACAGAAUAAGCACCGGCUAACUCUGUGCCAGCAGCCGCGGUAAUACAGAGGGUGCAAGCGUUAAUCGGAAUUACUGGGCGUAAAGCGCGCGUAGGUGGUUCGUUAAGUUGAAUGUGAAAGCCCCGGGCUCAACCUGGGAAAUGCAUCCAAAACAUGCGAGCUAGAGUAGGGCAGGGGGUGGUGGGAUUUCCUGUGUAGCCAUGAAAUGCGUAGGAAAAGGAAAGAACACCAGUGGCGAAAGCAACGACCUGGGAUCAAUCUGGCACUGAAGUACGGAAAGGUGGGGAGCAAACAGG
rnacentral:rRNA from 1 species